UCCACUAGCAAUAAUAACUCGUUGGGUUCAAACCAUUAACCCAAAAUACUUAAACCCAAUUAUUAUUACUAGGGUCCAUAAUGAUAUUGGUCUAUAUGUGUGAUUGGACUGACGAGAAUGUCAGAUGGUUUGGGCCCAACGAAUUAUUAUUACUAGAGGG
rnacentral:pre_miRNA from 1 species